GAGCUGCUGCCUCGAGUGCGCUGUUGGAGAAAGGAACCAGGCAGACAGAGGAGAACUGAAGUUUGACCAGCUCCAGUUCACUCUACUCACCUACCUGCCCUCCGGCCACAGUCAUGGCAGUCCACCGAUUCCCUGCUCUGGAGUCUGGCUGCUUCACCUGGACCGCUCGACCUCCCCCAAACACCAGUUCUCUACCUGCAAAGUUGUACUGAGACUUCCGGAUGCAUCUCCUGAUGCCCAUGCCCUUCCUCCUUGCCCUGAACCUAAACUUACAAAAUGAAUUUAGUUUUCUCUCAUGUUCUAUGUUCUUGUACCAGG